AGGGGCUUAGGAUAGCAUAAGUCCAAGGGCCUUCAAAGUCCUCAGCGAGAGUGAAAAUCUCCCAGCCCCUG
rnacentral:tRNA from 1 species